CAGUCGCCGCGGUAAUACGAAGGGUGCAAGCGUUAAUCGGAAUUACUGGGCGUAAAGCGUGCGUAGGCGGUUUGUUAAGUCUGCUGUGAAAUCCCCGGGCUCAACCUGGGAAUGGCAGUGGAUGCUGGCAAGCUAGAGUGUGUCAGAGGAUGGUGGAAUUCCCGGUGUAGCGGUGAAAUGCGUAGAGAUCGGGAGGAACAUCAGUGGCGAAGGCGGCCAUCUGGGACAACACUGACGCUGAAGCACGAAAGCGUGGGGAGCAAACAGGAUUAGAUACCCCUGUAGUCCCUGUCUCUUAUAC
rnacentral:rRNA from 1 species